GCAGUAGCAGGCAUACUGUCUAGGGGACAGCUGCUCUGCUUUUGCACGCUGCUCUAGGAGGAGGAGGUGGAUGUGGAUUAGGAGGUUGAGGAGGCGGUGACCGGAUGUUCGGAUGUCUGCCCUAUCAACUUUCAGUGUUACUUUCUGCGUCUGCCAUGGUGACCACGGGUAACGGCGAAUCAGGGUUUGAUUCUGGAGAGGGAGCUGUGGUACCACAUCCAAGGAAGGCAGCAGGCGCGCAAAUUACCCACUCCCGACGCGUAGAGGUAGUAAC